rnacentral:rRNA from 1 species
GUGGGGAAUAUUGGGCAAUGGGGGAAACCCUGACCCAGCAACGCCGCGUGAGGGAAGAAGGUUUUCGGAUUGUAAACCUCUGUCCUCAGGGAAGAAGGAAGUGACGGUACCUGAGGAGGAAGCCCCGGCUAACUACGUGCCAGCAGCCGCGGUAAUACGUAGGGGGCGAGCGUUGUCCGGAAUUACUGGGCGUAAAGGGUGCGUAGGCGGCCUGACAAGUCGGAUGUGAAAUACCCGUGCUUAACAUGGGGGUGUCAUUCGAAACUGUUGGGCUUGAGUGUGGAAGAGGUAAGUGGAAUUCCCGGUGUAGCGGUGAAAUGCGUAGAGAUCGGGAGGAACACCAGUGGCGAAGGCGACUUACUGGGCCACAACUGACGCUGAGGCACGAAAGCGUGGGGAGCAAACAGGA